CUCCUCUCCACCUACCACCCAGUCACCUUGAGCCCUGUGCCCCACCCUGCACCAGGGACUCUUGCCACCUUUGUUCACAGCACUGUUCCCCCACCUGUUGCUUCCCAGACCUUGAGAACUCUGCUAGAACCCAACAGCCACCUUGAGAAGCCUGUUCCUCAUAGUCCUGCUUGUACCCCUAAGACCUUGUGGAGAAGCUGUUGUCUGAGGCCGGUUGCUGGAGGGGAGGAAGAAGUUCUAUGAUUUUCCCUGAGGGAAGAGAGAGGGUCCCAGCCCUUCCCGGGAACCUCCACCUCAUUCUCAGCAGGUAGAGUCCAAAAGCCAAGAUCCUGUCUCUGGUGAAGUGACUCCUGACAUGAGAAGACUUAAGGACAAGUGGCUACUAACUGCCACUCCAAGGAACUCGGACCCCCAGGGGGAAGAGCCAGCAACUCAGCUGACUUUUUGCACCUUCAGGCAGCUUUGAAAUUUCUUCCCUGAGUUACUGACAUACCACCUACUCCAAGACCCUGGAACCUCAUCAGAAUUUGCACAAUGCUGUCCCCAGUCCUCAGGGCUGUGGGAUCCUCUUAAGAGUACACCUUCCAGCGUAAGCAAGAAUCCAUCCGACCCAGGAGUGAAGGCCAUGUAGUCACUGACCUCCUGUCACUAGGGAGCGCUGGGUCAGGCUGGGCACCCAGAGAGGCCUCUCUGUCCCAGGAGUCUGCUGUUGUUGCUCAGUCCCCUAGUCGCCUCUGACUCUUUGCAACUCCAUGGACUGCAGCACCCCUGGCCUCCCUGUCCCUCACCACCUCCUGGAGUUUGCCCAAGUUCAUGUCCAUUGCAUUGGUGAUGCCGUCCAGUCAUCUUAUCCUCUGAUGCCCUCUUCUCCUGCCCUUGAUCUUUCCUAGCAUCAGGGACUUUUCCAGUGAGUCAUCUGUUCACAUCAGAUGAUCAAAAUACUGGAGCUUCAGCUUCAGCAUCAGUCCUUUCAGUGAAUAUUCAGGAUUGAUCUCCCUUAAGAUUGACUGGUUUGAUCUCUUUGCAGUCCAAGGGUCUCUCAGGAGUCUUCUCCAACACCGCAGUUCGAAGGCAUCAAUUCUUUGGCAUUCUGGCUUCUUUAUGGUCCAGCUCUCACAAUCAUACGUGACCAUUGGGAAGAUCAUAGCACUGACUAUACAGACCUUCGUCAGCAGAGUAAUGUCUCUGCUUUUCAACACACCGUCUAGGUUUGUCAUAGCUUUCCUGCCAAGAAGCAAUCAUCUUUCUGAUUGCAUGGUUGCAGUCACCGUCCAGUUAAGUACAAUGCAGUCACCUGAACAGAACUGUAUAAAAGGAGUCUGUUACUCAUACUUUAUUCAGACCUAGCUCUUAGGAGGCCAGCAACUGCUAGACCAGAACCCUGGACCCCAGGGGCCCUAUAUUUCAGACUGAAGCCACUUCCCUGGAAUCUUACCCCUGCAAAACAAACAAAAUCCUUGGGAUGUCCUUUUCUGUGUCCUAUUCUCUCUUAUCCUCAUAUGCAUCCUCUGCCCCACCCCAUUCCUAGUCCUCUGGCGAGAUUUUAGAGGAGCCCGGGGCUGCUGCAGUCCCCUCAUUUUGGAUGUUAAUCAACCCCUCCUUCAUUUCACGGGAGGGAAUAAAGAGAGCCAUUUUGGAGAGGACUUCAAAGAAGUCAGAAGAAAACCAUGUUGUCCUUGGGCCUCUGUGAGUCUUCUCUGUCUGUAAAUUCAACACCAUGGGACUCCCUGAGGGUGACAAAAGGUGGUGUCUGGAACCUCGGAUGACAGCCAGGACCCAGAGAUACUGGGCAUAAGAUGGUGUUGCCUUGCUUGAAUGAUCCCUUGUCUCCACCUCUCCUGCCUCCCUUGGACACUCUCAGAAGCCAUUUACUGUCUCCCCUUGCUGCAUACAAGAGUUGCUUAGUGACCUUCUUUAUCAGCUAGAUAUUGCUAUAUAACAAAACCACCCCAAAACUUAGUAGCUUAAAACAAUAACCAAUUCUGUGAGUUGGCAAAUUAGGUUGAACUCAGCUGCUGGUUUGAUUGGUCUCAACUCACCUCACCUAUACAUUUGCAGUUAACUGUUGGCCAUUGCUUUUGGGGUUGGCUGGCUUUUGGGUAGGGGGUUGGGGAGAGUGGGCUUUGUGUCUCUCAUUUUCCAGGAGGCUAGCCCAGGUUUGUUCACAAAUAGCUGGGGAGGGUUCUAAGAGAGCAGGAACAGGAUUAGAGUGAAACAAGGGAGGCACUUAUCUUGGGCACAAAAAAAGUAAUCAAGAUAAGUAAUAUUUUAAUGUAAUAUUUUGUAAAGAUCAAAAUUAAUACAAAAGUCCAUGAUGAGCAAAAUAACAGAAUCAGUUACCGAAAGCUUUUAGGAAACUGAAACAAACAAAAAAUCUGUAGUUGUGAUCUUGAGGCAAGUACCUCACUCACUGCCUCCUGCAGAAGAGCAUGUGGAAGCUUGCCAGGCUUCUUGAGAGUCUAUGACCCACACAUUUUACUUCCAUAACAUUCUGUUGGUCAAAGCAAGUCAAGGAUUCCAGGGGUUGGGAGGUAAACUCCACCUACACUCCAGGGAGGAGCAGCAAAAUCACAUUUCAGAAAAUGUGAAGAAUUGCAAAAUUUUUGCAAUCACUCGCUGGCAGCAGAGUAGCAAGCCUCAAGGCUCAGGCCUUGCUUUCACUCUACCACCGAAAGGCUUUAGCUGUUUGCUAAAGCCCCUUCCUACGCUCUCUAUGGGAUUCUGAUUCAUAGAGAUGACAGAACAAUAACACACAGAGGUUAGUGCCAUUGAAAGAAGUUUUUAUCACUUACAGUUCCCUCGAGAAGGGGGUUGCCUACCGAGCAGAGUCAGAUAGGGAAGCACCCAGUUUGUAAGGAAAGACUGAGGAACUGCCAGAUUGGAAGAAACUAAGGCAACAUUGACCACUAAGUGCAUCGUGGGAUUCUGGAUGGGAUCUUGAAACAAAGGACAUAAGUGGAAAGACUGCGGAAAUGCAAAGGGAUUUACAGUUAAGUGUCUUGUACCAAUGUUAAUUUCCUUGUUUUAGUAAUUGUACUAUGGUCAGGUAAGAUGGUGAAGUUAGGGGAAACCAGUUUUCCCUUCACCAUCUGAAGGGAAAACCACCAAACUGGUUUUAUAUCCUUCACCCAGAAGGAUAUAAAGGGAGCACUAGCAUUUUUGCAGUGUUCUAACUUUUCUGUAAGUCUAAAUAUCAGCUAAUAAAAAGUUAAAAAUGAAAUUAUAAAAGGAGAAGGAUUAUGUUGUUCCAUAAAUUUAAUAAUUUAGUAUGGCA
ensembl:lncRNA